CUAAUGCAGCAGUGAUGUUGUGUGACGGGCAAUAAGAAGUCAGCAGAGGGCAUAGUACCUUGAGACAGUACAACUUAAGGGAAGGCC
rfam:Vibrio harveyi ATCC BAA-1116 chromosome I, complete sequence.